rnacentral:rRNA from 1 species
UACGAAGGGGGCUAGCGUUGUUCGGAAUUACUGGGCGUAAAGGGCUCGUAGGCGGCCAACUAAGUCAGACGUGAAAUCCCUCAGCUUAACUGGGGAACUGCGUCUGAUACUGGAUGGCUUGGAUUCGGGAGAGGAAUGCGGAACUCCAGGUGUAGCGGUGAAAUGCGCAGAUAUCAGGAAGAACACCCGUGGCUAAGGCGGCUCUCUAGUACGGUACUGACGCUGAGACGCGAAAGCGUGGGGAGCGAACAGG